rnacentral:rRNA from 1 species
CAGUAGCCACGGGAAUACAGAGGGUGCGAGCGUUAAUCGGAUUUACUGGGCGUAAAGCGUGCGUAGGCGGCUUCUUAAGUCGGAUGUGAAAUCCCUGAGCUUAACUUAGGAAUUGCAUUCGAUACUGGGAAGCUAGAGUAUGGGAGAGGAUGGUAGAAUUCCAGGUGUAGCGGUGAAAUGCGUAGAGAUCUGGAGGAAUACCGAUGGCUAAGGCAGCCAUCUGGCCUAAUACUGACGCUGAGGUACGAAAGCAUGGGGAGCAAACAGGAUUAGAUACCCCCGUAGUCCCUGUCUCUUAUAA